UACGUAGGGGGCAAGCGUUGUCCGGAAUCAUUGGGCGUAAAGCGCGUGUAGGCGGCUUGGUAAGUCUGCUCUGAAAGCCCGGGGCUCAACCCCGGAAUUGCCUUUAAGACUGCAUCGCUUGAAUCCGGGAGAGGUGAGUGGAAUUCCGAGUGUAGAGGUGAAAUUCGUAGAUAUUCGGAAGAACACCAGUGGCGAAGGCGGCUCACUGGACCGGCAUUGACGCUGAGGUGCGAAAGCGUGGGGAGCAGACAGG
rnacentral:rRNA from 1 species